CUCCAGCAGAGGCUUUCUUCAAGCUUUUUUUCUUCAUUAUUGUACAUAUAGGGAAGUAUUUUUAUUUAUUUAUUUUUUCUGCCUGACAAACCCUUUCAAACUUCCUCAAUUAUUUCACAUUUCACUCAAGUUUCUAUGUUGAUGCACAGUUGAAAAGAUGACUUACUUGUGAUCCAUAUUAAUAAUAGUAGACUUUAUUUAUGUUGCAGUUGCAAAGUGCUUUACAGAAACACAUAUAACACAGUGAAUUAAACACAAUAAGAAUUAUGAAAACUGGACCACAAAUGGAGUAAAACAGAACGUCAUAAAGCAGUUAAGCCAUUUUUAAAAGAUGAGACUGAGUUUGCAGCCCUGAUCAUCUCAGUCAGAUCACUCCAAAGUCCAAAUCUGAGGUCUUCUGGGAGCGGGGCAUUAUUAACAUUAACACAUAUGAAAAAGCAACAGGUAAGAAAUCACAUGUACAUUUUAUAUCCUUAUGUGCUGAAAAGCUGCAAAGCCCAGUAACACAGCAAGCCCAGCUAACCUUAACUCCUGGGCUGCUACAACACUACUUGUAUGACAUGGUGUGUAUUCAUAUUUUUUUUUCAUCUUUUGAAUUUUCAUCAUUAAUAUUUCUUUGUCAUUAUUCCAGUUAUUGGCGAAGACUACACAUGAGAUGCAACGAGCUACAGAAACAGAGAACAAACAUGUAGCAGGACGACUAUACAAGAUUGUGAAAGUAGAAAAGUGGUGCGUAGGUGGAAGGAGAAGUAGCGGUGCAGCACAGCAGCAGUGAAGGCAGUUUGUCGGACCAGUAAAGUGAGCACCUCAGACUGCUGCUACUGCAUACUGAAUCCUAAACACUUCUUCAUCAAAUCCCAACAAUGCUUGCUGCUGCAAAGAAACAGUACCGGUGGUGUUUCUGACUCAGUGGAUAACUACAGACACCCACACUGCCUGCUGGAGGUGAUUCAUAAGGCCUAAUCAACGCACAUGCACAAUGGACUGCAAUAACAGCAGACGGUGGCUGUUUCUGUUAUCUUUUCCAGUGGUUGGAGGUGUGUGUGCGGGGAUCACACUGUGUGUCUUGCUGUGUUUGUGGACAGCAGAUGUAAAACGUUGAGUAAACAGGACUCUCGCCUUUGCGGCAGCAGCUGUUGGGUCAGAUGCCAAGUUAUGGGCGA